rnacentral:lncRNA from 1 species
UCCUCAUUUUGUCAAUAUGUAACAUUCUGUGAGUCUACAAACAUUAAUUCAAAACGGACUUUCCUGUUUAUCAAUUCUUCCUUCUCAGAUGCUCUUGAAAGUGACAGUGACAAAGAUGACAAUGCUGAGGACAAUUCUGGUCGAGAGGUGCACAAAACCCACCGAGAAUCUGAAACAGAGCCAACGGUUUCCUUAACAGAAAGGACAGCACAGACUCCAGCUGGGACACAGAGAGAGAUUAGACUUAGCCACGCCAUCAGUACAUUAACUGAUGGAGCGGGUCGCUGUGAGCCACAAGACUCAGAGAAGGAACAAUUGUGCAAAUCAUGCAGCGAUUUCCCACACAGCUGCGUUUAUCCAUCGGAAUUACACAAACAUCUGCUGGAUCCAAGUAUCCCCAACGGCCUCCUCCCCUCAGCCCAGGUGAACACCUGGAACAGCUGUGCCACUGUGGACAGAACAGUGCCGUGUGGACUGACCAUGGCAGCACCUGUCAGGGCCCCAGGGACUCCGGGGUUUCCCAUCAGCCUUCAGCAGCACCCGCUGGUACAGGACCUGGUGAGCCUUUCACACUUUGGAGGAUUUCUGUUUUAUCCCUACUCCACCUUCUCUGCAGCGUCAGCCCAGUACCUCGUCCCACCGGGGCGCUCUCGAGUGGAUUUCAGAACCUAUGCAAGCACCCACAGCCGGGACUACUUCACCUCUCCGAUGAUAUCUGCAUCUAUUCCUCCUGUGGGUGGUGGUGGUAGUGGGUUGAAAUAUCUCACCCCUCAUUUGCUAAUGGCACCCAAAACCGACCAGAAGAACUCAGUGGAUGAAGCUGAAAUUGACUGCAGUCAAGACGAGUCACAAACCGGGUGAAAUUACUGACUUGACAGCAGUUGCUGUUGCUCUUAAGUGUCCCUGCAUGUGGUCUGCCCAUUUCCAACCUACAGUUCAGAGUCUAAAGGUUGUUUUCUCAUGGGAAUGACACUAAAUAUGUAUUGGUAAAGUCUCAUACAUCUGCAUUUUAUUGACAACAUUGCUAAAGACUGAAUCACUGUGGUGCAAAGAGCAUUUUAUUCCGACAAAUGUCACUUAGUUCAUGAACAAGAUAUUAAAGGUCCAGUGUGUAACAUUUAGGAGGAUCUACUGUCAGAAAUGGAAUAUAAUAUUCAUAGGUAUGUUUUCAUUAGUGUAUAAUCACCUGAAAAUAAGAAUCAUUGUGUUUUUGUUACCUUAGAAUGACCUGUUCAUAUCUACAGAGGGAGUAGGUCCUCUUUUACAGAGGCCUCCAUGUUGAACCACCAUGUUUCUACAGGGUGGUUCCAAACACUGGCUCUAGAUAGGGCCUUUGGCAUUCAUGAGUUUUGCUCCCACUGUAGUUUCUUCUACACACCUGGAAGGCUGAGCUGUGUGCAACUUCAUCGCUAAAUGCCACUAAAUACUACACACUGGACCUGUAAAUUGUGAUUUUAUUGGAAUUAGGUGCUGCUUGGUGGAUUAUAAAGAGGCUGAGUUAACGGCACAUUUGAACCCAGAAACAUUUAACUGACACAUUCCUGAGUUAAGUUUGGCAUAUUAAAUAACAAUAAAGCUAAGUAAAUUACUCAUUAAAAACAAAAAAGUUGAACCAUAUGAAGAUUGUUCCAUGCUUUUCAACAGUGAAACUCCCUGAAGAGUUAUUAGACAACUUCUCACACACACACACACACACACACACACACACACACACACACACACACACACACACACACACACACACACACACACACACACACACACACACACACACUUGAAAAACUGAUCUGACUGAUCAAAUAAAUUUGUGUAAUUAACCCUUCCUAAGCCCCACCCCUCAAAGUAAAAAAAGGUCCAAAAAUAUUUUUAGGUAUAUUUAUUUGAUCAAAUUUGAUUGAAAGUGACCAACAACCCAUUCUUUGCAAGAGAGCCCCGCCCACUUCAAAUCCGUGAGAAGAGCUCAGAGGAAAAAAGAAAUACAGAAAUCUCUCAUGUUAAAUAACCCAAACUGUUCUAACUUUGACAGAACAUAGUGUGUUCAUGUAGGACCCCAUCACUCAUAGUAAGCAACAAACUGACAGAAUAGGUUUUCAGGACCUUUAAAGAACCAAUGUUAUGCUAUAAACUACAUUAAUCUGGCAGACAGCUUUUUCGCCUCUUGAGUUGUUUCCUGGCAUAUAUACACCGCUGAAACUAUUUGUGGUGCAGUGUCUUGCUCAAAAACAGUUGGACAUGUGGACAGGGGGACACGAGGAUUGAACACCAACCUACAGGCCAGCAGUGCCACAUUUUGAAAUGUAAAAACAACUUUACACAUGCUGCAAAUGUUAUUAAAACUUGGAUUUAUAAUAACCCUCUUGAGUAUUUGGCUUUUGAAUUCAUGUCCUGUCCUCAGCCAUUCAGACACUAUCACACGCUGCAGGUGUUGGUGCUGUUACCAAAAAGACACUAUAUUGGAAAUAUUUAUUUACCCCUGUCUUUUAUGUAUAUGUAUGGAUAUUUGACCUGUCCUCACCACGGAUCAAGACUAUAGACUAGAAGCCACCAAUAUUGGCAAAAUAUAUACAGCAAAAGGCACUUAGUUGGCAAAAUGUUUUUAAAAAUGUACAACAAUGAUACUGUAAAUGAAAAUGUUAAAAAAUAAGCGUUAUCCGUUUCCAUAACAUUUUAUAUAUAGCAAUAGGGAGUCACGAGAAAGGUGCUGAAGACCACUGCCUUUUGUUGUUUCUGUUUCCCUAUUUCCCUGGGUCUCCUUCUCCCCUGUCUGUCUCUGUGUCGGUGUUUGUGUCUGGGCGUGGUCUCCUCUUCGUCAGUCUGGUUCCUGGCUCUGCUCUCUGCACACCUGCUCAUCAUCCGCAAACUAAACACCUGCCUGCUAUCUAGCAAUCCCCACUGCCACUGCCUCUGAAAUCAAUACGUCUAACAAAUGUAUCUAAUUUAUUAAAACAUGUUUCACAACCACAGUAGUAUGAAAUCAAAUGUUAAAUAGUUUAAUAAAGGAUCACAAAGGGCAUUUUAGUCCAGAUAUUUAAAGGGCUUUCCUCUGCUUGGGGCCCAUACAUUAUCCAAAGAUGAUUCAAGAAGUAAGUAAAUAAAAUUCUGUAGACUAAGUAACUGAAUGAGUUACUGAACGGUAAAGUAGCCCUAUGUUUUCAUGAGUUACAGUGAAGCUCAGUGUGGUGGGCUCAGUCUUGGCAGUCCUGACUCCACCGGCUCUCAGUGAAUCCAAAAAAGGGUAGACGUGGACACAUGUUUAUUUCUGCUGUAAUGUAGGGGGCCUUAUGGAGAUCCACUCACUUCUGUAGCCAGCCUCGAGUGGCUGUUUGAGGAACUGCAGUUUUUGUUAUUUUCGUGUUGGCUUCAUUUUCCAGCUAAGCAGGUUGUGCUUGGUUCAACAUGAGCCUGGACUCUGCACAACGUGUGUCCCUUACAUUUCUGUCCAACCUGAUCCUGACUAGCUCUGAUGUCACGCAAAUGGAAGCAACAAUAACCUCACAAGAUCUAGGCGGCUGCAUUGUUUGAAGUCACAUACAAAUUUUCAUAUUUUAGGUGACGGAAUGUUUUGCCAUGACCUUGCCCUGAACUAAGUUCAUUGUUUAAAUGUUAUAUCAACAACAUGACGUUUUAUAGAAACUAGAAUUUUUUGUUUAAUGAAGAUUUAUUCUGGAGAGUAAGUAUGUGGUGUCAGACAGAGAGGGAUUCAGCUUAUCUUACAGAUAGUUCUCAUAGACUGCAUACAAUCUAUGAUAGUUAAUAUUACAUCAUUCAUUUAAGUAUCCUGAAGCGACAGGGACAUUUUGCUAGCAAGUGGGAUGUUAGGAUUCCUAAAAUAACAUGUCAGACAGAUCAAUAAUAAAAACUGUUGUACUGUUUUUGUGCUUUCCUUUCUCUUUGUAUGUUUUGACUAUUGACUCAUCUUUUGAAUAUUAUAUCUUUUGACAAGAGUGGAUCAAAGUUUUUUUUUAUUUUUUCUAUUCAUUCUAAAAAUAACUUAACACAUAUACUUUAAUGAAUUGAUUUCUACUGCCACUUUUAGAUAUUUCUAUUCAACGCCAUACUAAUAUGCCACAAUAAUGUAAUGUUUUUGAGUUCAAAUAUCUUCAUUUGGGGUCUUUACUAAACAAAUAUUGACAUAUGUGAUUGUUUGCUAUUUAAUCAGCAUAUAUUUCUGCCACCCCUGAAAGUCUCCCAGCAGCCCUCUGAACACUCCAUGAAUAUUGCUCUAUAAGCAGCCCUGGAGAGGGACAGGCAAUCAAGUCUGGGCAUCUGAUUUAUAUACAGCACCAAUUUUAUGUGAUGGAUC